GAUGAACGCUAGCGGCAGGCUUAAUACAUGCAAGUCGUGGGGCAGCAUGAGUAGCAAUACUUGAUGGCGACCGGCAAACGGGUGAGGAACACGUACACAACCUUCCUUCAAGCGGGGAAUAGCCCAGAGAAAUUUGGAUUAAUACCCCAUAAUAUAUUUGAUAAGGCAUCUUAUUAAUAUUAAAGCUUCGGCACUUGAUGAUGGGUGUGCGGCUGAUUAGAUAGUUGGCGGGGUAACGGCCCACCAAGUCUACGAUCAGUAGCUGAUGUGAGAGCAUGAUCAGCCACACGGGCACUGAGACACGGGCCCGACUCCUACGGGAGGCAGCAGUAAGGAAUAUUGGAUAAUGGACGAAAGUCUGAUCCAGCCAUGCCGCGUGAAGGAUUAAGGUCCUCUGGAUUGUAAACUUCUUUUAUAUGGGACGAAAAAAGGGCAUUCUUGUUCACUUGACGGUACCAUAUGAAUAAGCACCGGCUAACUCCGUG
rnacentral:rRNA from 1 species